GACAGAGGGUGCAAUCGUUGUUCGGAAUUGCUGGGCGUAAAGCGCGUGUAGGCGGCUCGGAAAGUCGGAUGUGAAAGCCCUGGGCUUAACCUAGGAAGUGCAUUCGAAACUCCCGAGCUUGAGUUCUGGAGAGGAAGGCGGAAUUCUCGGUGUAGAGGUGAAAUUCGUAGAUAUCGAGAGGAACACCGGUGGCGAAGGCGGCCUUCUGGACAGUGACUGACGCUGAGACGCGAAAGCGUGGGGAGCAAACAGG
rnacentral:rRNA from 1 species